rnacentral:rRNA from 2 species
GCUGAGUUUAAGCAUAUCAAUAAGCGGAGGAAAAGAAACUAACAAGGAUUCCCUUAGUAACGGCGAGCGAACCGGGGAAAUUCUA